rnacentral:rRNA from 1 species
UAGGGAAUAUUGGACAAUGGGUGAGAGCCUGAUCCAGCCAUGCCGCGUGCAGGAAGAAGGCGUUAUGCGUUGUAAACUGCUUUUUGCCAGGGGAUAAAAUGAGCAUGCGUGCUUAAUUGAAGGUACCUGGUGAAUAAGCCACGGCUAACUACGUGCCAGCAGCCGCGGUAAUACGUAGGUGGCAAGCGUUGUCCGGAUUUAUUGGGUUUAAAGGGUGCGUAGGUGGCCCUGUAAGUCAGUGGUGAAAUAUCUCAGCUUAACUGAGAGGGUGCCAUUGAUACUGCAGGGCUUGAGUACAGAUGAGGUAGGCGGAAUUGACGGUGUAGCGGUGAAAUGCAUAGAUAUCGUCAAGAACACCGAUAGCGAAGGCAGCUUACCAAGCUGUAACUGACACUGAGGCACGAAAGUGUGGGGAUCAAACAGGAUUAGAUACCCCGUAGUCCCUGAGCGGGCUGGCAAGGCGCAU